rnacentral:rRNA from 1 species
UGCAGUCGACGGCAGCGCGGGCUUCGGCCUGGCGGCGAGUGGCGAACGGGUGAGUAAUAUAUCGGAACGUACCCAAGAGUGGGGGAUAACGUAGCGAAAGUUACGCUAAUACCGCAUACGAUCUAAGGAUGAAAGCAGGGGAUCGCAAGACCUUGUGCUCCUGGAGCGGCCGAUAUCUGAUUAGCUAGUUGGUGGGGUAAAGGCCCACCAAGGCAACGAUCAGUAGCUGGUCUGAGAGGACGACCAGCCACACUGGAACUGAGACACGGUCCAGACUCCUACGGGAGGCAGCAGUGGGGAAUUUUGGACAAUGGGGGCAACCCUGAUCCAGCAAUGCCGCGUGAGUGAAGAAGGCCUUCGGGUUGUAAAGCUCUUUUGUCAGGGAAGAAAAGGCUGUGGCUAAUAUCCGCAGCUGCUGACGGUACCUGAAGAAUAAGCACCGGCUAACUACGUGCCAGCAGCCGCGGUAAUACGUAGGGUGCAAGCGUUAAUCGGAAUUACUGGGCGUAAAGCGUGCGCAGGCGGUUUCGUAAGUCUGUCGUGAAAUCCCCGGGCUUAACCUGGGAAUGGCGAUGGAGACUGCGAGGCUAGAGUUUGGCAGAGGGGGGUAGAAUUCCACGUGUAGCAGUGAAAUGCGUAGAGAUGUGGAGGAACACCGAUGGCGAAGGCAGCCCCCUGGGUCAAAACUGACGCUCAUGCACGAAAGCGUGGGGAGCAAACAGGAUUAGAUACCCUGGUAGUCCACGCCCUAAACGAUGUCUACUAGUUGUUGGGUCUUAAUUGACUUAGUAACGCAGCUAACGCGUGAAGUAGACCGCCUGGGGAGUACGGUCGCAAGAUUAAAACUCAAAGGAAUUGACGGGGACCCGCACAAGCGGUGGAUGAUGUGGAUUAAUUCGAUGCAACGCGAAAAACCUUACCUACCCUUGACAUGGAUGGAAUCCCGGAGAGAUUUGGGAGUGCUCGAAAGAGAACCAUCACACAGGGUGCUGCAUGGCUGUCGUCAGCUCGUGNNCGNGAAAUGUUGGGUUAAGUCCCGCAACGGAGCGCAACCCUUUGGCAUU